GUGCCAGGACAAAGGGCCAGGAGCUUCAAAAAGGGACCCUGGAGGGGACAGCCAGGCAGAGAGCGGGAGGCCAGUGAGGGUGUGUGGCAGAGUCGGAGCUGUCAGAGGGCAGCAGGACCAGAUCCCAGCUGGGUAAAGACACACACAGGCCUGACUGAACUCAGAACCGGCUGCUCGCUCACCUGCACCCACUGUGUUGGUGGGCAGUGGCUCUUAUCUUCCUUGGUAAGGGAAAGAUCCACCUGAAGUCUAGCCUGGCUGCCCUCUGGAACACCUUAGAGAAGCUUGGCAGUGUCUCUAAUGCGUCUUUAGCCAUCAAUAGAAAUCUGAAGAAGCUUGAGGUAUGUGAGUCUGGGGAGGGUCCCUCUGGCACUGGGGUCCCCAGAUGAGCCCACUGCAGGUCGGAGUGCAUGACUUUGUCCUUUUCCAAACAGGAGCAGCAUUU
ensembl:lncRNA